GUGUGUGUGUGUGUGUGUGUGUGUGUGCGCGCACGCGCACACCACACACACAAUCUU
rnacentral:miRNA from 1 species